GACGUAGGGCGCGAGCGUUGUCCGGAUUUAUUGGGCGUAAAGAGCUCGUAGGCGGCUUGUCGCGUCGACUGUGAAAUCCCGUGGCUCAACUGCGGGUCUGCAGUCGAUACGGGCAGGCUAGAGUUCGGUAGGGGAGACUGGAAUUCCUGGUGUAGCGGUGAAAUGCGUAGAGAUCAUGAGGAAGACCAGUGGCGAAGGCGGGUCUCUGGACAGUUCCUGACACUGAGACACGAAGGCCAGGGGAGCAAACAGG
rnacentral:rRNA from 1 species